GAUGAACGCUAGCGGCAGGCCUAAUACAUGCAAGUCGAACGGGAUCCAGAUCAAAGCUUGCUUUGGUCUGGUGAGAGUGGCGCACGGGUGCGUAACGCGUGAGCAACCUACCCUUGUCAGGGGGAUAGCCCGGCGAAAGUCGGAUUAAUACCGCAUGACAUCAUUGAGAGGCAUCUUUCGAUGAUCAAAGAUUUAUCGGACAAGGAUGGGCUCGCGUGACAUUAGCUCGUUGGUAAGGUAACGGCCUACCAAGGCUGCGAUGUCUAGGGGCUCUGAGAGGAGAAUCCCCCACACUGGUACUGAGACACGGACCAGACUCCUACGGGAGGCAGCAGUAAGGAAUAUUGGUCAAUGGACGGAAGUCUGAACCAGCCAUGCCGCGUGCAGGAGGACGGCCCUAUGGGUUGUAAACUGCUUUUAUACGGGAACAAACGUCGGUACGUGUACCGGUCUGAGUGUACCGUAAGAAUAAGGAUCGGCUAACUCCGUG
rnacentral:rRNA from 1 species